CGAUGCGAGGGCUCUCUGGCUGUGACAUCUAUCGUCCCACUGAUCACAAGGGUGGAUCCAGAUGAUCUGGCUGGCUAAGCAGGUGUCUCCUCCCUCCCUCAGGGCUCUGGUCCCAAGUGCAUCCCUCCCAAAGCUGCGGCAUGCUUGGUUGAACAGGACGACCUUCCCCACUCGAGGACCGGUCUUCAGUUAAGGGCAUAUGAGCAGCUGUGCUCCCCGGCUAGAAGCUGCAAACCAGCUCUCAAAAACGCUGCCACAUCUGAACUGACAUUAACAAAGUUUAGGACAGCGUCC
rnacentral:snRNA from 1 species